GUUCCUAAACCCACAUCGAAACAAUAGCCCGGUGAAGCACCCACCUCCGGCAAGGCCACACCUCCGGCUAGACCCAACUAGAAUCUUCAUUUAUUUUUCAGCUAGGCAUGGAUUAUGAAGAUCCAACAAAGAAGAGCAACUUUGUGGUAAUGUUCUUAUGGAUGUUGUAUUGACAGCACUAUGAUGUUCUCAUUCUUGCCUGUGCCAUUUCUAUCAUGGCCCGUGGAUUUCCCUUGGCAUGAGAUGAUAGGUUUGUGCAUUUAUGCACUUGCUUUAUGUUGUUAUCAUAAUAGAGAGUGGCUUUCAAGAAUCACGACCAUUAGAAAAAAUGACAGCAUCAGGGGCUUGUGGUUUUUCUGUCCACUUAUGGUGCUUUUUAUAUUGUUCUGUGCAUUUCUUGGUUUAUAACUUUUUGUUAUUCCAGAAAAAGCCUAUCUCAUAACAUUGGUUCUACAAUAAAAUUUUGAUGUAGAUUUUAUUCUUGCGCUGCAGGAUAUGAUACAUUGUGACCUUACUAUAUGAAAUUAUUAUUUCUAUCUGUUAGUUCGUCUACCUUUUACUGGAUUAUAAAUAUACAUAAAAUCAAAUUUUAAGUUGCAUGUUCUCAAUUUACAAUUUAUAAUCAGCUUCUCAUGUUGUCAUGCUAUUUGUGUGUUCUCUUUGGAUUUUGAUGGAUACUUCUAUUUUUCGAUAGCAGCUUAUGUUAUUUUCUGCUGCAUCAUUCACAGCACACGUGAAUGAUCAGCUUAUGUUAUAAUCAGCUUUUCAUGUGGUCAUAUAUGUAGCGCCUAGCGUCAAGUGUUCUGAAGCUUUUCGAAGCUCACCAAGCUAUGAAUCACUUGAAGUUGAACCAAAUUUUGCCCACGGUUGAAGAAAGAAAGGUAAGAGACUAAGAGAAAAAGUGGAAGUGUACAUUAUUUGACUUCUGCUCACUCUUCACCAGUUAAAUGUGAGUUCUAAUAGCUAGUACUGAAUACCUUAACCAAAUGUUGCUGCUCGGCACUUAGACAAGUGGAGUUGCAGGAUUCACUUAGCUUUCAAAUUGGGAGUAUGAUUGCUUUGGCACUGGCCAUAGUUCGACUACCAUCUUAGCAGCACCAGUAUCUUUUGUAGGUGGAGCAAAUGAACAAAAGGUAGACAUAAACGGUGAAGACCUUACUUAGAGUGCUGGUUGAUUAUUGUUGAAACUUCAUAUGUUCUGGAAAUCAUUCGAACAUUUUGCAAUCUUAUGUAUAUUAAUUUUG